rnacentral:rRNA from 1 species
UACGAAGGGGGCUAGCGUUGCUCGGAAUCACUGGGCGUAAAGCGCACGUAGGCGGCUUUCUAAGUCAGGGGUGAAAUCCUGGAGCUCAACUCCAGAACUGCCUUUGAUACUGGAGAGCUCGAGUCCGGAAGAGGUGAGUGGAACUGCGAGUGUAGAGGUGAAAUUCGUAGAUAUUCGCAAGAACACCAGUGGCGAAGGCGGCUCACUGGUCCGGUACUGACGCUGAGGUGCGAAAGCGUGGGGAGCAAACAGGGAUUAAGA